rnacentral:rRNA from 1 species
UGGGGAAUUUUGGACAAUGGGCGAAAGCCUGAUCCAGCCAUGCCGCGUGAGUGAAGAAGGCCUUCGGGUUGUAAAGCUCUUUUAGUCGGAAAGAAAGAGUUGCAAUGAAUAAUUGUGAUUUAUGACGGUACCGACAGAAAAAGCACCGGCUAACUACGUGCCAGCAGCCGCGGUAAUACGUAGGGUGCGAGCGUUAAUCGGAAUUACUGGGCGUAAAGGGUGCGCAGGCGGUCUUGCAAGUCAGAUGUGAAAGCCCCGGGCUUAACCUGGGAAUUGCGUUCGAAACUACAAGGCUAGAGUGCAGCAGAGGGGAGUGGAAUUCCAUGUGUAGCAGUGAAAUGCGUAGAGAUGUGGAAGAACACCGAUGGCGAAGGCAGCUCCCCGGGUUGACACUGACGCUCAUGCACGAAAGCGUGGGGAGCAAACA